rnacentral:rRNA from 1 species
GGUUAAGCGACUAAGCGUACACGGUGGAUGCCCUGGCAGUCAGAGGCGAUGAAGGGCGUGCUAAUCUGCGAUAAGCGCCGGUAAGGUGAUAUGAACCGUUAUAACCGGCGAUACCCGAAUGGGGAAACCCAGUGUGACUCGUCACACUAUCAUUAACUGAAUCCAUAGGUUAAUGAGGCGAACCGGGGGAACUGAAACAUCUAAGUACCCCGAGGAAAAGAAAUCAACCGAGAUUCCCCCAGUAGCGGCGAGCGAACGGGGAGGAGCCCAGAGCCUGAAUCAGCAUGUGUGUUAGUGGAAGCGUCUGGAAAGGCGCGCGAUACAGGGUGACAGCCCCGUACACAAAAGCGCAUGUGCUGUGAGCUCGAUGAGUAGGGCGGGACACGUGGUAUCCUGUCUGAAUAUGGGGGGACCAUCCUCCAAGGCUAAAUACUCCUGACUGACCGAUAGUGAACCAGUACCGUGAGGGAAAGGCGAAAAGAACCCCGGCGAGGGGAGUGAAAAAGAACCUGAAACCGUGUACGUACAAGCAGUGGGAGCACCCUUUGGGGUGUGACUGCGUACCUUUUGUAUAAUGGG